UGUUGUUUUUUUUUCUUUUCAGCUCGGCACAAUGUAGUGUAAAUUUUUUAUCCAAGAACCAAGGAUGUGACCAUAAACGUAAAUGCCAUACAGAGAACAGAUAAUUGAGCGGGAAAACUCAAUUGGGUCGCCGAGAGCAACAAGAAUGAACCAACUGGUUUUAGUGUAUAUAAUAGAUAUAUAAUAUAUAUAGAACACUCUCUUUCCAAAGUAAAAUGACCUAGAGUGUUUGAAUUUAUCACAAAGCUCUUGGACAAUACUCACAUACAUUGACGUUUACAUACAUAGAUGCAUCCAAUAUUGGAUGAGGUAGGCCAUCAUCAGGAAGUUUACCAAGACAGAGGAAGUUUGAAAAAUACUUUACCUUGAUGACUGGAUUUUUAUUUAGCUGUUGGAAAAUUAGCGAGCAUUCAGUUUUUUUAAAGAUAAAAAGCUGCUUGAAGAAAUGAAAAAAAAAAUAAAAUGUGAAGGUUGCCAAUUACAGAAGUAUCACGAAUUUCUACAGAUGCUCUCUCAUACCAUUUUACUUGGUUUUUUCUUUAUCACCAUCAUCAUCCCAGGGGCUACAUGUUCAAACCUGUAAACAUUGAGCUUAUCAAGUGGAGGAGGAGUGUCGCAUUGCCGAUAUGUUUCAAGCAUUGCAGUUGGCAUUGUGUCACGAGAUACAACUUGCU